GCGCCAGGGAAUUACGAGCGCAAGCUUAAAACCCAAAGGAUUUGACGGUGUCCCACCCACCUAGAGGAGCCUGUUCUAUAAUCGAUGAUCCUCGAUAUACCUCACCACUUUUUGCUUUUUCAGCCUGUAUACCUCCGUCGCAAACUUACCAUAUGAAUGUUACAAAGUAAGUUCAACUAGGCCCCUAACACGCCAAUACGUCAGGUCAAGGUGCAGCCAAUAAAGUGGGAAGCAAUGGGCUACAAUUUCUAGUAUAGAACAAACGAAAAACUACAUGAAACAUAGUCAUGAAGGCGGAUUUAGUAGUAAAAGAAGAAUAGCGAGCUUCUUUAAACAAGGCCCUGGGACGUGUACACACCGCCCGUCAC
rnacentral:rRNA from 1 species